CCAAAACUUAGCUGUCUGGCCGCAAGGCUCUGACGCUUCAACCCUUUGUGAACCAAAAAACCUUUCGCUUCGGCAGCCGCGCCGGUUGGGAACAGCCCGCGCUUCAGCCUGCCGUUAGCACCAAACAUCAAAACUUGCAGUGGAAAACAUUGUCUGAUACCAAAUUUUCGAAUGAAAAUCA
rnacentral:misc_RNA from 1 species